GCUGGCGGCGUGCUUAACACAUGCAAGUCGUACGAGAACUCUUCUGCUUGCAGAAGAUAGUAAAGUGGCGCACGGGUGAGUAACGCGUGGGUAAUCUACCUCCGAAUCGGGGAUAACCCGCCGAAAGGCGAGCUAAUACCGGAUAAUAUCUUUAAAACUUAGGUUUUAAAGAUCAAAGGUGGUCUCUACAUGUAAGCUACUGUUUGGAGAUGAGCCCGCGUACCAUUAGCUUGUUGGUAGGGUAAUGGCCUACCAAGGCCGCGAUGGUUAGCUGGUCUGAGAGGAUGAUCAGCCACACUGGAACUGACACACGGUCCAGACUCCUACGGGAGGCAGCAGUGAGGAAUUUUGCGCAAUGGGGGAAACCCUGACGCAGCAACGCCGCGUGAGUGAUGAAGGCUUUCGGGUCGUAAAGCUCUGUCAAGUGGGAAGAACCUGCUAGAUACUAAUACCAUCUAGCACUGACGGUACCACUAAAGGAGGCACCGGCUAACUCCGUGCCAGCAGCCGCGGUAAUACGGGGGGUGCAAGCGUUAUUCGGAAUUAUUGGGCGUAAAGGGCGCGUA
rnacentral:rRNA from 1 species